rnacentral:misc_RNA from 1 species
GCCAUAUCUAGGUAAGAGAAACCAUGCAUUAUAUAUAGAAGCAUCAAUUGCCUGUAAGAAUUAAAAAUUACCAAUCUUAAAGAUUAAUACUUGGUUGACUGCGAGCAUGGUGAUAGCGCGCACGAGAUCCCUUCAAUAUGUUUAUGUGCUUGUUACAGUGCUCCUGUUUUUAGUGCACAUCAAACCAUCCCUCCACUUCAAGCAUGGAUGCAUCGAAAGGGAGAAAAAGGCACUCCUUAGGAUGAAAGAUGACCUGAUUGAUGACUAUGGUGUUCUUUCUUCUUGGGGGAGAGAAGAAGACAAAAGAGAUUGCUGCAAAUGGAGAGGCAUCGCUUGCAGCAACAGAACGGGUCACGUUAUAGAGAUUGCUCUUACUUACGAGAAGCCCCUGAGAGGUAAGAUAAGCAAUUCCUUGCUUGAACUGAGACAUCUUACUUACUUAGAUUUAAGUGGCAAUGAUUAUGGUGUAACUCAGUUCCCAGCUGAUAAUAAUGGUUCCCUCUCCAAGUUGCGACACUUGGAUCUGCAUAACGCUAACUUUGCUGGAGCCGUCUCUUCUCUGCUUGCCAAUCUCUCCAGCUUGGUGUAUCUUGAUCUGAGUAAGAAUCAUUUUCAUGAUUUAGAAAACAUUGAUUGGCUUCUUGGUCUUUCUUCUUUAAGUUACCUUGAUCUGGGUGGCAAUUCCCUUGUUAGGCCCAGUGAUUGGUUGCAAAUAGUUAACAAACUCCCUCAACUAGAAACCUUGAGCCUGUCCUCGUGCUUUUCUGGGGAUGGGAUUCCUCUGACUCUUUCCCCAAUCAAUUAUUCAUCAUCCCUUACUACCCUCGAUAUCUCUUAUAAUAACCUUGUGAUUCCUUCAAUAUACCCAUGGUUGUCUAACAUCAGUCGAUAUAUUGAAAAAUUGACCCUCUCUUCCAACCUUUUACAAGGUUCAACUCUAGCUGAAAUUGGGAACAUGAUUUCUCUUCAAGAGCUUUAUCUUUCUAAUGCUACAAUUGUGGGUCCUAUUCCAAAAUCCUUCGGAAACAUGUCCGAUUUGCAUUUUUUAGACCUAUCGGACAACAAUAUCAGCGUACCACUUCCUGACUUGAUUCAAAAUCUAUCUGGUUACACGGAAAAAUCACUGGUGACUUUAAGGUUGGAUGGAAAUCAAUUAACGGGUUCAUUGCCUGAUCUUACAAGAUUUUCAUCUUUAAGCCAACUAUAUCUCGGAAAUAAUCGCUUGAAUGGGACCAUAGAGAAAAGCAUCGGAUAUCUAUCCAAGCUCCAAGCUUUAGCACUUGAUUGGAAUUCAUUAAAUGGAGUCAUAUCCGAAGACCAUUUUUCAAAUCUGUCCAACUUGAAAGAGUUGGAUUUAUCUGGUAACUCCCUCAUUUGGAAUGUGAGUCUCGACUGGGUUCCUCCAUUUCGUCUAGAAACAUUAAGUCUUCCAUCCUGCAAUUUGGGACCUCAUUUCCCUAAAUGGCUCAGGACUCAGAAGAAUUAUUAUUGGCUGGAUAUCUCUGACUCUGGAAUUUCUGAUUCCAUUCCCAGGUGGUUCUGGGACUUGUCUUUUGCUCCUUACUAUCUAAAUAUUUCCCAUAACAAUUUGAGUGGGACGGUGCCUCAUAUUUCAUUCCAACUUUAUUUUCUUAAUAUUCUUAUUAUUGAUAUAAGUUCCAAUCGUUUCCAUGGUCCAUUGCCUUUGCUUUCAUCUACUCCAAGUUCUUCGUUUUUUAUAACUGAAGUAAUAGAUUCACCGUUCAUCUACCUUGACCUCUCAGGAAACCUCUUUUCUGGAGUAAUUCAUGAUAGUUUGAUUCUCAUGAAAGAUCUCGUGUUUUUGAAUUUGGCUAAAAACAAUCUGUUUGGUAAAAUUCCGCCCUCCAUAGGAUCACUUUCGAAACUUGAAACACUGAUGUUAGGCAACAAUGCCUUAUCGGGAUCAUUACCUUUGUCUUUAAAGAAUUGCACUAGGUUGAAAUUCAUUGACCUGCGUGGUAACAAAUUGUUCGGAAAUGUACCCACUUGGAUUGGAGAAAGCCUAACCUCUUUGCAAUAUCUGAGCCUAAAAUCCAAUAAGUUCUAUGGAAGCAUCCCCUCGCAACUGUGUCAAUUAAAACAAGUUCAAAUCUUGGACCUCUCUGUAAAUGAUAUCAAUGGAACCAUACCAUACUGCCUCAAGAAUUUAAGUGCCAUGGUUGAUGGGAAUUCAACUAAAACAAUCGAUCAUCAAUAUGUUGGGACAACAGAUGGUUCUGUGGCGUAUGCUUAUAUUGACAGAGCAUUGAUUCUUUGGAAGGGACAGAAUUACGUGUGCGAAAAAAAUCUAGGACAAUUUAGGAUAAUUGACCUUUCAAGCAAUGAAAUUGGGGGAGAGAUUCCAAGGGAAAUAUCAAGCCUCUCACAGCUUCAUCAAUUAAAUUUGUCAAAUAACAAGUUGAUUGGUGCAAUCCCUGAAGAGAUUGGUUGUUUGAAGAUAUUGGAAUCACUUGAUCUGUCUCAAAAUCAGCUAUCAGGCAGACUUCCGGCUAGCAUGGCUGAUUUAAAUUUUCUCAACACCUUGAACUUGUCAUAUAAUAAUUUGUCUGGGAGGAUUCCAUCAAGUACUCAGCUUCAGGGAUUCAGUGCUUCUUCAUUUUCUAAUAAUUUUGCACUUUGUGGGGAGCCUCUUCAACAAAAGUGCCCGGGAGAUGAUACUCACGUUUCACAACCCAACAUUGAUGGCCGAUACAAUCAAGAAGACAAAGAUGAAUUCUGGAAAUGGUUUUAUGCUGGCAUGGGUCUCGGAUUCACUGUAGGCUUCUGGGGAGUAUCGAGCACUUUACUGUUAAAGCGUUCUUGUAGACAUGCCUUUUUCCAACUCUUGGACAAAUUGGGAGAUUGGGUUUAUGUGAGAACAGCAGUGUACAAGAGAAGAUUGCAACAGAAAUUUCGUAGCUAGGAUUCAUCGCUUCUUUUGAAAUGUUUGCCAAGAACCUGCUACUGCUGCUGCCGCCGUUGUUUCUGAGAAAAAAUUAGUUUGUUAGUCCGAUGGCGAAAUUUCGUAUAAACAGCGAGCUUUUAGCCAAUUGGUACAGUAUAUUAACUUCUUGUCAUCAUUUUGUUUAUGUUUUGCUUCUUCAAGAAUGAAAAUUCAGAAUGCAAUAAUGUGAAACUUGAGUUUGAUUUUUGUUUCAUGAAUCCCUUAGUUGGCUUUGAUUUUGUUUCAUAUAUCCCUUAGUUGGCUCUUUGUACUAUUUUCUCUUUCACGAAAAUGAAAGACCAUUAUUAUGUUAACUAAACAAUAAGAAGUGAUGACUUGAGCUUUUAGGAUGAGUACGUCGGCAGCUUAAAGAUAGAGGAAAAGCUUAGAGAAAAUACCUUUUUCUUUUUUCAUUAGAGAGAGGAUUGUGUAGGCACCUUUUUCUUUUUUCUUUAGAAAGAGGAUUGUAUGGGAGUGUCUCAUUCAAAACCUAACUUUACCAAAUAAGUGAUAAGCUUAGCAGAUACUAAGUCUAUGCAUGUAUACUUGAAGGGGUUGUAUUCUUUAUUAGAUAGAAAGCUAUUCCUAAUUGGCAACUACUUAUGCAAUGACCAGGGGAUCCUAAUAUGUUAGGAUUCAAAGUCAUUACCCUCAGCAAGAUAGCUCAAACGAAAUUAUCCUUCAUAAACUCUGGCACUAACUUCAUUGGUAUCUAGGAUUUGCACUUGAUGUCUAAAAAUAGCUCUUGAUACCUAAGUCCUUUAAUAUCAUGUUAUCAGAUGUCCCUUCUCCUAGUAAAAGAAUAGCUUGAAAAUGAAUAUAAAGAAAAUAAAUAUAAAAAAUAAAUAUAAAUUGAAAAUAAAUAUAAAGA